GACGAACGCUGGCGGCGUGCCUAACACAUGCAAGUCGAGCGAAGUGAGUACUACGGUACGAACUUAGCGGCGGACGGGUGAGUAACGCGUGGACAAUCUACCCUGUAGACUGGGAUAACACCUCGAAAGGGGUGCUAAUACCGGCUAAUGUCGAGAAGCGGCAUCGCUUUUCGAAGAAAGGAGAGAAUCCGCUAUAGGAGGAGUCCGCGUCCCAUUAGCUAGUUGGUGAGGGUAACGGCCCACCAAGGCGACGAUAGGUAGCCGGCCUGAGAGGGUGAACGGCCACACUGGAACUGAGACACGGUCCAGACUCCUACGGGAGGCAGCAGUGGGGAAUAUUGUGCAAUGGGGGAAACCCUGACACAGCAACGCCGCGUGAGCGAAGAAGGCCUUCGGGUUGUAAAGCUCAAUAGUAUGGGAAGAUAAUGACGGUACCAUACGAAAGCCCCGGCUAACUACGUGCCAGCCGCCGCCGUAA
rnacentral:rRNA from 1 species